rnacentral:rRNA from 1 species
GGGAAUAUUGGACAAUGGGCGAAAGCCUGAUCCAGCAAUGCCGCGUGUGUGAAGAAGGUCUUCGGAUUGUAAAGCACUUUCGACGGGGACGGAUGAUGACGGUACCCGCAGAAGAAGCCCCGGCUAACUUCGUGCCAG